rnacentral:rRNA from 1 species
UACGAAGGGUGCAAACGUUGCUCGGAAUCAUUGGGCGUAAAGCGCACGUAGGCGGCCUUGCAAGUCGGAUGUGAAAUCCCACGGCUCAACCGUGGACGUGCAUCCGAACCUGCUCGGCUCGAGUAUGGAAGAGGGUCGCGGAAUUCCCGGUGUAGAGGUGAAAUUCGUAGAUAUCGGGAGGAACACCAGUGGCGAAGGCGGCGACCUGGGCCAAUACUGACGCUGAGGUGCGAAAGCGUGGGGAGCAAACAGG